AUUGAACGCUGGCGGCAUGCUUUACACAUGCAAGUCGAACGGUAACAGGCCGCAAGGUGCUGACGAGUGGCGAACGGGUGAGUAAUGCAUCGGAACGUGCCCAGUCGUGGGGGAUAACUACUCGAAAGAGUAGCUAAUACCGCAUACGAUCUAUGGAUGAAAGCGGGGGACCGUAAGGCCUCGCGCGAUUGGAGCGGCCGAUGUCAGAUUAGGUAGUUGGUGGGGUAAAGGCUCACCAAGCCAACGAUCUGUAGCUGGUCUGAGAGGACGACCAGCCACACUGAGACUGAGACACGGCCCAGACUCCUACGGGAGGCAGCAGUGGGGAAUUUUGGACAAAGGGCGCAAGCCUGAUCCAGCAAUGCCACGUGCAGGAAGAAGGCCUUCGGGUUGUAAACUGCUUUUGUACGGAACGAAACGGCUCUGGUUAAUACCCGGGGCUAAUGACGGUACCGUAAGAAUAAGCACCGGCUAACUACGUG
rnacentral:rRNA from 1 species